rnacentral:rRNA from 1 species
UACGGAGGGGGCUAGCGUUGUUCGGAAUUACUGGGCGUAAAGCGCACGUAGGCGGCUUUGUAAGUUAGAGGUGAAAGCCCGGGGCUCAACUCCGGAAUUGCCUUUAAGACUGCAUCGCUAGAAUUGUGGAGAGGUAAGUGGAAUUCCGAGUGUAGAGGCGAAAUUCGUAGAUAUUCGGAAGAACACCAGUGGCGAAGGCGACUUACUGGACACAUAUUGACGCUGAGGCGCGAAAGCGUGGGGAGCAAACGGG